UACAAAAACUAAGUACUGACAGAUUUUAUGUAAAACUAUAUUAUACGUAUGAGUUUUAAACAAGAAACUUGUUAUUGUACUGGGAAAAUAGUCAGAGAUGAAACCACUUGUGUGUUGUUUAGUUGUUACACUAUUUAUCCAAAAUUAUGUAGGAGCGUCAAAUUUAAGAUGUUACAGCUGUGAGUCAUGCGGUGAUCCCUUUGAUGAAUCUAACAAAUUGAAUGUGAUAUGUUCUGGCUCUUGCGUGAAAUCAAACCAAAAAGGUUCUAUUACAAGAGGCUGUUCAAAUAUUACUCUAGUAUCAGAAUGUUCAAAAGAUGGACAACUUGAAGUUUGUGCAUGUGACACAUAUCUAUGUAACAAGACGCAAGGAAAACACAAAUAUUUGGUUGGACCUUAUAUCGGCAGCAUCAUCUGUAUUAUUUUACAAACUUUCGAUAGAUAUCAUCAUUGAAACGAUCCGCAUCGAUCAUCGUUGCUACUAACAGGUCUUUAGAUACAUACAUUAUGACGAAAGGCUAUUUUGAACAUUCGCCAUUACCCGCGAAAAGUACUAGGUUUUAAUUGAGAUUAUUGUUCAUGACUAUCUUGGGAUAAUAUGGAUGAUUGCCCUUGUGCAGUAUAGCUUGUUAGUAAAAAUCAUAUUCUAAAUAAUAAAAACACAAUAAAACAUGA